UACGUAGGGCGCAAGCGUUAUCCGGAAUUAUUGGGCGUAAAGAGCUCGUAGGCGGUUUGUCGCGUCUGCCGUGAAAGUCCGGGGCUCAACUCCGGAUCUGCGGUGGGUACGGGCAGACUAGAGUGAUGUAGGGGAGACUGGAAUUCCUGGUGUAGCGGUGAAAUGCGCAGAUAUCAGGAGGAACACCUGUGGUGUAGACAGCUUGCUGGACCAUCACUGACGCUGAGGCACGAAAGCGUGGGUAGCAAACAGG
rnacentral:rRNA from 1 species